GUCUCUUGAAUUUAUUCUCACUUUUCCAUUCCCAUAGCCUGGGUACAGAGUGUCACCAUCCUUUGCUUGAUUUCAUCAAACAAGCCUUCUGACACGUCUCCCAUCCUCUAACUUUCUCCUGGCUUCAGUCCAUCUUCUCCAGGAUGACCCAGGGGCCAUCCUGAGGACGGUGUGAUGUUGUUGGCUGGAAAGCUGAGGCAGAUCCUGCAGAGCCAUCACCUUCAUGACAAGUACCUGGCAUGGUCUCCUAGAAACACAGAAACAUCCUGACCAGGCCCACCUGUGAAUAACUGCAGGAUGGAAGAAAGUAACACAUCCCCUCCAGAGUCUGCCCGGAGCCAGGACCUUACCCUCUCCCUUUUGGUAUAAAAGAAGCUUGAAUUCUAACUCGGGAAGAUGGUUCUAUAGGACAUUCGUUUGCCAUCUUCUCGGUCUGCUGGCUUUCCAGAUAAAAUGGCUAUUCCUCGCCCCAACACCUCAUUUCCUGAUUGAUUAACCUGUCGUGUGGCAAGCAGUAUGAACUUAGACUUGGUAACGAAUUUUGGUGAAGCCAGCCAGGAGCCUUGCUGCUGCGGCCAGUCUGCCCUGAUUGGGUUCCAGUAAGGCCCUAGCAGCUACUGGGACCUCUUGUCCUGAGGAUCUUCCCUUCAAAAUUACCCGAAGCGGCACCGGCUGCCCCAGCACUUGGCAAUUGGAGCAAGGAAUGGACAUCUGGGAGCUGACAGGUUCCAUACAGUAGGGUAAGUCGCUCCAGGGUGUA